rnacentral:rRNA from 1 species
GAUGAACGCUAGCGGUGUGCCUAAUGCAUGCAAGUCGAACGGGAAGUCUUGAUUAUAUUGAGACUGAGAGUGGCGGACGGGUGAGUAACACGUAGGUGACCUGCCCUAGAGAGGGGAAUAACCAGUGGAAACGCUGGCUAAUACCCCAGAAGUCAGCAAAGUUAGAGGUUGUUGACUAAAGCUACGGUGCUCUAGGAGGGGCCUGCGGCCCAUCAGCUAGUUGGNGAGGUAACGGCUCACCAAGGCAGAGACGGGUAGGGGCGUGAGAGCGUCGACCCCCACCACU